GAUGAACGCUGGCGGCGUGCCUAAUACAUGCAAGUCGAGCGAACAGACGAGGAGCUUGCUCCUCUGACGUUAGCGGCGGACGGGGGAGAAACAUGUGGAUAACAUACCUAUAUGACUGGGAUAACUUCGGGAAACCGGAGCUAAUACCGGAUAAUCUAUUCAACCGCAUGGUUCAAUAGUGAAAGACGGUUUUGCUGUCACUUAUAGAUGUAUCCGCGCCGGAUUAGCUAGUUGGUAGGGUAACGGCUUACCAAGGCAACGAUGCGUAGCCGACCUGAGAGGGUGAACGGCCACACUGGAACUGAGACACGGUCCAGACUCCUACGGGAGGCAGCAGUAGGGAAUCUUGCGCAAUGGGCGAAAGCCUGACGGAGCAACGCCGCGUGAAUGAUGAAGGUCUUCGGGUCGUAAAACUCUGUUAGUAGGGAAGAAGAAAUGUGUAAGUAACUAUGCACGUCUUGACGGUACCUGAAGAAGAAGCCACGGCUAACUACGUG
rnacentral:rRNA from 1 species